UACGUAGGGUGCGAGCGUUGUCCGGAAUUAUUGGGCGUAAAGAGCUCGUAGGCGGUGUGUCACGUCGUUCGUGAAAACCUGCAGCUUAACUGUGGGCGUGCGGUCGAUACGGGCAUCACUGGAGUUCGGCAGGGGAGACUGGAAUUCCUGGUGUAGCGGUGAAAUGCGCAGAUAUCAGGAGGAACACCGGCGGCGAAGGCGGGUCUCUGGGCCAUUACUGACACUGAGAAGCGAAAGCAUGGGGAGCGAACAGG
rnacentral:rRNA from 1 species